CCUACGGGUGGCAGCAGUGAGGAAUAUUGGUCAAUGGGCGCGAGCCUGAACCAGCCAAGUAGCGUGAAGGAUGACUGCCCUCCGGGUUGUAAACUUCUUUUAUAAAGGAGUAAAGUGAGGCACGUGUGCCUUUUUGUAUGUACUUUAUGAAUAAGGAUCGGCUAACUCCGUGCCAUCAGCCGCGGUAAUACGGAGGAUCCGAGCGUUAUCCGGAUUUAGUGGGUUUAAAGGGAGCGUAGAUGGGUUGUUCAGUCAGUUGUGAAAGUUUGCGGCUCAACCGUAAAAUUGCAAUUGAUACUGGCAGUCUUGAGUACAGUAGAGGUAGGCGGAAUUCGUGGUGUAGCGGUGAAAUGCUUAGAUAUCAGGAAGAACACCGAUUGCGAAGGCAGCUUACUAAACUGCCACUGACAUUGAUGCUCGAAAGUGUGGGUAUCAAACAGGAUUAGAUACCCUAGUAGUC
rnacentral:rRNA from 1 species